rnacentral:tRNA from 1 species
AGCCCCGUAGUGGAGUACACGUUGGGAUUGCAAAUCCAAAGACGCAGAUCGACGUCUGCCGGGGCUU